rnacentral:rRNA from 1 species
AACGAACGCUGGCGGCAUGCCUAACACAUGCGAGUCGAACGAGACCUUCGGGUCUAGUGGCGCACGGGUGCGUAACGCGUGGGAACCUGCCCUUAGGUUCGGAAUCACUCCCCGAAAGGGGUGCUAAUACCGGAUAAUGUCUUCGGACCAAAGAUUUAUCGCCUUUGGAUGGGCGCGCGUUGGAUUAGCCGGUUGGUAGGGGAAAAGCCUACCAAGGCGACGAUCCGGGGCUGGUCUGGGAGGAUGACCUGCCACGAUGGGGCUGCGACACGGCCCAGACCGGGAGGGGGGAGAGCAGUAGGGAGCAUUGGGGACUGAACGAAAGCCUAGUCCAGCCGUGCGGGGGGAGAGAGGAAGGGCGUUGGGUUGUGCAGCUGUUUUACCCGAAAUGUUAAUGACGGUACCGGGAGAAUAAGCACCGGCUAACUCCGUG